CCUACGGGAGACAGCAGUGAGGAAUAUUGGUCAAUGGACGAGAGUCUGAACCAGCCAAGUAGCGUGAAGGAUGACUGCCCUAUGGGUUGUAAACUUCUUUUAUAUGGGAAUAAAAUGUUCCACGUGUGGGAUUUUGUAUGUACCAUAUGAAUAAGGAUCGGCUAACUCCGUGCCAGCAGCCGCGGUAAUACGGAGGAUCCGAGCGUUAUCCGGAUUUAUUGGGUUUAAAGGGAGCGUAGGUGGAUUGGUAAGUCAGUUGUGAAAGUUUGCGGCUCAACCGUAAAAUUGCAGUUGAAACUGGCAGUCUUGAGUACAGUAGAGGUGAGCGGAAUUCGUGGUGUAGCGGUGAAAUGCUUAGAUAUCACGAAGAACUCCGAUUGCGAAGGCAGUUCACUGGACUGCAACUGACACUGAGGCUCGAAAGUGUGGGUAUCAAACAGGAUUAGAUACCCGAGUAGUC
rnacentral:rRNA from 1 species